GUAUAGAGGAGUUGGACAAAAGUGCUCAGGAGACUGCUUUUCACGAAUUGGAUGCAAGUAUGUCCUCACAAGACCUAAACAUUGGCCUCAUCAAUGGUGAUGAAUUCAACCACAUUCAAAACUUGACUAUUGACUGGGAAGAUGACUUAUGGUGUCCUGAAAAGGAGUCUGUGUCAUCAUUUGAGGAAGAUGAAACCAGGGAAGUGGACUCAAACUCUGAUGAUAGUGGGGAUGAAGAUUAUGUGCCUCGUAUUUGUGUGCGAUUUACUUGAAUGCACUGCCAGCUAUAAGCAUGGAGGACUCUGUGUACGAC